CCCUCUAUUUUAAAAUAAACUACCAUAAAUUCCAUUUUACUUUAGUAAUUCAUUCUGGGAACUAGUAAUGAAAUCCCUGGCAACCAAUUAAAUAUUCAGUCAAAUCAUAAAUUUAACAAUCUGAAGUAUCUCUGUCCUUAAUGAACAUCUCUUCCUCAAUAAAUCUUCUGUCCACUCUUCUGUGGACUAUGGGGCAUCUCAUUUUACUCUAACUCUGAACAUUUUUGUUCAAUUCUAAUCAAUUCUAUUUCUAGUCAAACCUUGCUUGGCUUAGCCUGGUCAUCCCUGGCCUACAAUAGCCCCAGAGUCACACUGGUUUCACCCUGUAAGUUCACUUGACCCCUGUACUUCUCACACUGGAAUUAUCCUCUGCCUCUGUGGCCUCUUCUUUCUCCUAGAACCUCCAUUUUAAGAAGGAUACCUAGGCCAGCCUUGUCUUUUAUUCCUCUCCAGGCUGUAGUCCCAACCCUCUGGACUUUCUCUACUGUACCCCUCUGCAUAUUUCUACCCACUUACCCCAAAACUUUUUUAGUUCCUUGAGAAGAGGAACUUGCUCUCUGUUUAUAUUUUUAUUCACAUAACUUAGCAUAGUAUCUGGUACAUAGUAAGAGCUUAAUAACUGCUUAUUAAUAACUUAAUAACUUUAAUAACUUGCUUUGACCUUGCAGCUUCCAUUGGCUUCCUAGAUCACAAAUUUAGAGACUAAAGGGUCCAUGGAGAUUAUCUGUUCCAACUCCUUCAUUCUAUAGAUGAGGAAACUGAGUCUCAGUGAAGUGAAAUUACCUACUUCCAUGACACAGAAGCAUUAAGUAUCCAAGCUGGGAUUAGAACCCUGGACUCAAAUGUUCUUUCUUUUAGACCACCUUGUAGUCUGAGACAUCUCUCCUUGUCUCAGCUGAGAUUUGACUUCUCUUCAGCACACAAUUGAGCUAGAUGUAGUUUUCCACUUUGCUCCAAUGAGGAAGGCUGGUUACAGGCUUAGAAUAGUCUCCUCUCCCCUCCCAUAACCCUAUCUUUUUCUUCUUCACUCUCUCUGAGACUAUAGUGUCUUCUGAAGCAGAGUCCUUCAGCUUCUCCAGAAGAACACUGCUUUGUUGUCUAGGUUACGACAUAUAGUGGAUGGAAUAUGCUCUAGAUCCCAUCUUUCACCAGGUCCCAACACACACAUUUUCAACCUACACUGCAAAUGAACAGUGAGAUAGCCAAGAAUUAAACAGGAGGGAUAAUUGAUUGCCUUUUGAGAAUUGUGAAAUUCUUUUAAUGACUCCAAAUGUUUUCAUUUUUGACACCAAUAUCUUUCCAGGGGAGAUAUAAAUUUUAUGAUUCUAAUGGAACUUCCAGUUUAGGAGGGGAUAAGACUCCAAUAUUAUUCAAAUUUAACAUACAUAACUUAAUUGCAGCCAUAGUUUAUCAUUAAGUCAAUGGGCUGAAUAAGUGGGGACUAUCCUUUUUUAUAAGUUAUAUUGCUUUGAUUCAUCAUCUUAAAGCAAAUUCUAUGUCGAAAUAUUAUCCUAUUAGUCAUGACUGGGCAUAGCAUAAUAGUAAACAUUUCUCAAGGACUGACUUAAUAUAUCAUCAUUGUUUUGAUUGAUGUAUAAUCCAACAAUGCAGAAUCCUCUCAAUUCUUAAUUUAUUGAUUGUUUCACUACUAGAUAAGCAUUGGUACGGGCAGCUAGGUGGCUUAGGGAAUUGACAGCAAGUUCCAGGUUCAAAUCCAGCCUCAGACUCUUCCUAGCUAAAUGACCUUGGGCAAAAACUUAGCUCUUACUGUUCUUUUGCUUUAGAACCAAUAUAGAGUAUUUAUUAAAGAAAAGAAUUGGCAUGAUAGUCUGCUUUUGUAAAAGGGUAGGUGAGGCCUGAUUUUGAGUCUAUCCUUUGAAAUUUUCUAUCUUUGUGAGCUCAGGUAAAUCCCGUAACCUCUCUUAUAUUUCAGUUUUUUCAUCUAUAAAAUUAGUACAAUUACACCUGUAACUUCACAGAGAUAGUUGAAGAUCUAAUGAGAUAAUAUAUAUAAAGUAUAAGUUAAAAAAACCUUAAAGUGGUCUGUAAAUGUCCACUAUUGUUGUUAUACUGUAUUUUAUUUUUAGUUGGAUUUGAAUCUUAUUUUUUAAAGUGAGAAAAUGUGAGCCUAAGAGGCCUGUGUUUUGUUUUAUUUUGUUUUUCAGUCUUUUUGCUCAUCAUGUUUCUAUGAAUUUUUAAAUUACCCAUUUUUAAAAAUGUUGAAACGAGUAAGAGAAAUUUAAAGCCAGACCCAGUCUUUGGGGAAUACUCUAAGAAGCUUAAUAUUUACCAUAGCAUUCACAGGUUUAAGGGCAGAGCUAUUUUAAAAUUUAUUUACUAUCAGCAGUCAUUAUGAUGAGUUGGUGAUAUAUCAUUUUAGGAUAUGAGGAUGCCAACAUUGUUCAUAUGCCAUGUGCCUGCCAUCCUGGAAAAGUCUAGAAUAUGGCCAACUCCAUUGCUCUACCCUCUAAACCCCCUAUUUCCUGGUCUUGUUUACAAUUAUACGAUUAUACUUUGUCUAGGACUGUGAUUUCAUCUGUAUAGGGAAUUUCUGGUGUGGAAAAAUCUGUACCGGUACAGCUGUUCUCUACCUCAUAGCCAGAAAGUCAGAGAGAUUUGUGUGGGGAACCCAGAAUUAAAUGAUUGACCCCAGAUUUGAGAAGAUCCCUAUACAUUAAAGGUGACACAUGAACCCAAGGUGUUCUUACUCUCAAGACCGACCAUUGUUAAGAUUAAAUAUUCUCUGGAGACUGCAUCUUAAUUCAUAAUUAUUUAUUAAAUAAUAAAAGCAGGCCAGAGAAAGAGAAGACCACCAACUACAUGUUGUCUGGCCAUUCCCUUAGCUCCUCCAAGAGCUUGAGUCUACACAAGCUUUCUGGCUCUGGAUUCACUGGGGAAAAGCUCCUACUUCCAUCCAGUACUCCAAUUUAUGCCCUUUGGAUGUUCUUUUCUGAAGCUCCUCAGAGGGGAGGACUCCAACCUUACUCUGGGAAAGAGGAGGGUCUUCUGGAUGCCAGGAGUCAUGCCUUAAGAGAGACUGCAGAGUUCCCAUGUUCAUUUUUCUCUAAUCUUUCCUCUCCCCACUAUCUUGAGAAGCUUGUUUACAGAUAAACGACAGGAUUUGUCUGCAUUCUUAUUCAAUGAGAGGAUGGAGUAAGAAGCAGACUUUUAACUUCCAUCUUAAUAUUAACACUUUCUCCCUCUUUAAAAUCUAAAGUUUGUCUUGGGGUGCCAAAGAAAGGGGUACAGACUUGUGUUAAAUUUUCACACUGUCUAGCCUUUAUGACACUAUGAUGCCAUAUUAACAUGGUAUCUCUGUUUUUCUGUAUAUCUCAUCUCUUCCUUCAUAAUUCACUCAUCCCUUCUCUUUUCUGUCUCUCGUAUUUCUUACUCUUUCCCUCUCUUUUCAGUUUGUUUCUUAGUGUGCAUGUCUGUUUCUCUCUCUCUUUCCCUCUCUUCCUUCUCCCUCUUUCUCAUUCUUCCUCAUUCUUCUGUCUCUGUCUGUUUCUGUUUAUACAUAUAAACAUGCACAGACAUACAUACACAUAAACAUUACCACUCAAAUAUAAAACUCAUUCCAAUAUUCCUAGAAUGCUAUGUAUAGCUGUGUGAACCUGGACAAGCCCCUUCUCUAAUAUAAUGUAUGUGAUAUCUACAUGUAGCAAAAAUGUACCGUCCUUAGUAUACUUACUCCUCCACCCAUGCGAAUCAGAGUCUCUAAGAAAUGUUUUAGCUGAAAAAAUUCAUCCCUUGACACCAACCUAGUGCUCAGCUUCUCCAAAACUAGCAGUGUGGUUUCAGAGCUCCAGGACAAAACAAGUCUACUCCAUUGCCAGAUCUGUCCUUGAAAUCUUUCCAAUUUGGGAUCAGAGGGCCCUGGCUUUGAGCUCAGUGCCUGAAGGUCACCUAGUCCAACCUUCUCCUUUUACAGAUGAGGGAAUUUGACAGGUUCUGCAAGAGGGUAUCUUUUGUUGGAAGAGUCCUCAGGAACCCAGUGUUACAGCCAUGCUAUGAUGAAGAUCUAGUUUAGAAGAUAUCACUCAAGCCAAUCCAACAUAUAUUUAUUUAGUAUCUACCAUAUAUACGGCACUGGAGAUUUAAAGAAAAAAUUGGCCCUGGCCUCAGAGAGCUUAUAUUCUAUUGUAAGAAUGCAGUAUAUAAACAAUUAUAUUCAUAAUCAUUUAAGGAAGGCGAGAAAUCUAUCUACCAGAGUCUGUGUAUGUGUGUGUGAAUGUGUAUAACACACAUAUUCUUUAUGAAUGUCUCCUCUUCUCCCCAACUCCUUCCACAUGGUGAGAGAACUAGUAUUAAUAAGUGCCUAGAUAUUAUUUCAUUCGAUCAUUACAACAACCUGAGAAGUAGUUAUGAUUUCCAUUUGACAGUUGAAGAAACUGAGGGUGACCUGUAAUUUGCCAUGAGUCACAAGUGUCUUAGGCUAGAUUUUAAUUCAGAUCUUCCCAACUCCAGGUCCAUCAAACUAUCCACUGCACCAUCUAGCUUUCCCUAGAGGUGCAGCACAAAUAUCCCAGAGUCAUAUAUGCUUUAAUCAAAUUGGCCAUCUUAGAUCUAUUCCUGCAAUCAUGCUAGUUUAAUUAAGCAGCAACCACAGGUAAAAGCUUUGUUCAAUAAACAUCCUCUCCCAGCACAGAGUCAUCUCAUUUGCAACUGGAGUCCAUGAAAUGGAUUUUCUUUUUGGCCCCUAAUGUGUCAGACAUGGUGGAUUGAGCCCAACUAUUUUGUGUUUUCUCUUUCUGUAAAAUGCCCUCUGUUAUCUUUAACGUUGUUUUGCUACUGCAUCAUGAAAUCAUCAGGCUCUCUCUGCUCAUCAGCCAAUGAAGGGGAAAGCUCUCAACACUCAGGCCCUGGAAAAUGCUUGCCGUGACAAUACCCAGCCCAGUCUGCAUUGCUCAAGCGAGAGGUAGUGAUUUUGAUUUUGACUGCAAGGUGUUGAGAGCAUCACUGCUCAGUGCUUGGCAGUGUCUUUCUCUGGGGUGGUCUCAGAUGCAAGGGUGACUAGUCUUAGGAACAUGCCAUGAUGCCAGGAUUUUAAUUAGACAGACUGAAGAGAACUCCAGUAACAAUCACUUUUGAAUCAAAUGCUAGUACAUGCUAAGAAGGAGUAAGUGACAGGAGAGACAGACAGACAGACAGAAAGAAAGAGGCAGUGACAGAAAAGGAAGAAAGGGGAGGGAGAGAAGAAGAAAGAGAGAGGGAAGAAGAGAGAGAGGGGGAGACAGAGGAAGGAGAGAGAGACAGAGAAAGAGAGAGAGAAUCAGAGAAUCAAUCUCCUACCAUUUUCCUCAGCAAAGACCUUUACUUCUCUGAUGUGUUCUUACCAAGUAAUUAACUAUUCAACAGGUCUGUGGUGUCAUUGAUAGGGUUUCCCCUCCAGUGAUGCCAUCACAUCCUGGCCAUAUCUAUGAAUAUCACAUGCAAUAUUUAGAGUUGGAAAGAAUCAUAGAGAUCAUCUAAUCAGAUGCCUACAGCUGAGGUCACUAAGUCUUAGAGAUAGGAAGUAACUUGCCCGGUGGUCACAAUGUAGCCCAAAGGACAGAUUCUUCCAAAUUCUUAAAUGAAUUAGCCAUUAGAUCAAAAUGUCUCCUGUUGGCUUCUGGCAAUAAAUUUCUCCUUUUUAUCCUUCCUUGAUGGUAAAGGAUUUUUGAAGCAAGUGAGCAACCUUUUGGUUGCUUUAAGCUCUCCCAAAAUAAGGAGAAAACUAACAAAAGACUGCUUGCUUUUUUGCAGGAGAACCCAGAAGUUUCUGUAGUGUGAGUCCUUCCUAUACCUACCUCUGAGGGUGCUGGGAGACUCAGGAAAGAGCACUCUGGAGGCUUGGGUUUCAAUCCCACCUUGGCUUUCACCAAUUUCAGUAGAUACUCAAUACCUGUGUGACCCUGGACAAGCCCCUGAACUCUGUCUCAGUUUCCUCAUCUGUAAAAUGAGCUAGAGAAGAAAAGGGCAAACCACUACUAUUUUUGCCAAGAAAACUCCAACUGAAGUCAUGAAGAGUUAGACCGUACUGAAACAACUGAACAACCACAAGAACCUGCUAGGUUGGUUCCUCCCAUAUUGUGCCAAAGAGAAGAGAACUGAAGAUUGAGCCAGGGACAUUGAUCGGGGAAGAGACCCACUCUGGGUGCCAUAAGUAGAAUAGAAGAGACUAUCGCUUCCAGGAGGAGGAGCUGUGCAUCCUCAAGGGAUGCAAGGGGCUAGAGGACUCUCCUUGAAGACUUAGCAGGCUUGCCCAGUUCCAUGGGAAAUGCUUCCAUCUAACUUCACUCCCUACCCCCAUCCCAUUGGAAAACAUUCAUUUUGUUUCCCAGUCUUAAUAUUCUACCCCAUCGUAUAACACAAUUUAUGUAGCAUUUUAAAAUUUGAAAAGUGAUUUUUUUCCACAACCCUUUGAGAUUGUGUGUUAUCCUUCCCAUUUUACAGAUGAGAAAACUAAGACUGACAAAUGAAGAGCCUCACUCAAGGUAGGAUUCUAAUGUCAGCCUGCUGUUUCCAGGUCUAGCACAUUCUCCUUUAUUAUAUGUUGAUGAUAGAAGUCUACUGACUCCAUCGGGAAGCUGUGAGGGACCUCAAUGAUAUUCAUUUCAAACCCUCUCAUUUUUCAGAUAUGGAAACCUGAGCCUAGAGAUGUAAACUGACUUCCCCCAUGGACUUAGAUAUAUGAAGUGUCUGAAUCAGCGGUAGACCCAGUUACCAUUGCUUUGUUUUUCUACUUAAGAUGGAAUACUCUUUUUAUGACCCGGGGGCUGACUUUCUUAUGGGAAGACAUCUUGAGUGAAUACAGAUAUUGAGAAAGGGAAUAAAUUGUUCUAGCUUUCCUCUAUUGAAGUGCCUUUUUUACCUAUAUUAAAAUCUUGCUAAAAACUUAUUUCUCCUUUCUUUUACUUUCUUUGGUAAAGGGAACAUUUCCUAUCCCAGAUGCUGGGACCUUUAAGGAAAAUCACCACCCCAUAACUUUGAUGGUAGGCAUUAUACCCCAAAGCCCUCGAUGACCACUUUUUUUAUUUAACUGAUUUAUCAUCCAGUCCUUUAGAAAUUCAGGCUGGCAAUGAAAACUUCUUAGCUAAAUUUGAUUGGUAAAAAGCAGUUAAUCUAGAUAUAGAAAUUGAACAAUUCCUUUCCCAAAGAGCAGGGACUAGUGUACCAAGAGAGAGACAGCUGACUUCCAUUUUACUUUUGUCAAUUCCCACUCAAGCAUUGGUUGUGUGGGCUAGAACUUCCUUCCAGAUUGUGUGCUUUAGACUAUCUCCACAAGAGUCAGCACUCGUAACCACUAUGUGUUGUUCUAAUACUUUAUCAAAAAUGGCUACAGUAAAUCUCAUUUGAAUGUUACUAAUUCAGAAUUUUUGAGAGAAAUCAUAGGAACAUAAAACUUUAACUUAAAAAGGACUUCAAGUCAUGUAGGUUGCCAUCCCUCCUCAUGUCACAGAUGAAAAAACUGAGACCUGGGAGGUAUAUCUUUUUUUCAGUUAUUUCCAAGGCAAUUAGGUAGUGCAGCAGGUAGAGUGCUGGACCUAGAAUCAGGAAAACUCCAUUCUGAGUUCAAAUCUGGCCUCAGACAUUUAGAAGCUGUAUGAUCCUGGGCAAAUCACAGCCCUAUUUGCCUCAGUUUCUUCAUCUAGAAAAUGAGGAAAAAGAUGGCAAACCAUUCCAGUACCUUCAGAAAAUCCUAAAUAGUGUCACAAAGAAGUGGGCAGGACUGAAACAAGUGAAUAAUUAUUCCCAAAUAUUUAGCUAUACCAGAGUAUAUUUCUCAGUCUUUUUGGAGCCACUUGGCAUAGAGGAAAGAAAAGUGGUUUUGUUGCCAAGAGGGCUUAUUACCUGUGUGAACUAGAGCAUAUUAACUGAUUAGACCUCAAUUUCCUCAUUUGUAAAUGACAAGGUGGAAUGAGAUAGCUUCUAAAAUCCUUCUAGCUCUGACCCAGAUCCCAGACACAGAGAAUAUACAGGGAUUCUCCCUCACAUACAGGAACUGAGGCCUUUCUACUUUGGAACCUAGAUACAAGAAUUAAAUAGUGGAACCUAGAUAUAAGAAUUAAAUAGCAUAUGAAAAGUAAACUCCCACAGGAUGUUUGUGAAUUGUAUUUAAGAGAGGCACAGUUACACAAAGUUAUCAGCCUCACUUCAGUUACACAAAGUUAUCAGCCUCACUUUCUCUUCCAGAGAUUUUGAAUUUCAGUGGCAACAGAAAAGGCAGGACAACUGGUGAUGGCUUAGGUUGCAUUGGAUGACCUUGUCAUCUCUGAUGUCUAACCAAACUCGUAAGUGAUCCACAGCACCUAACUUCAUCCACCUUCACAGCUAUUGGAACAGAUUGUUCUUGUUCAUCCAUUCUUCUAGGAGGAGUCUUUACCAUCUUGAGGUAGACACCCCCCAAUUCACUGAUAGGUUUGUGGUUUGUUACCUUCAAUCUGGUUUAGCCUUUUUGACAAGACAGUUUUGCCAUGGUGUGGUUGCUGCAGUGGAGACACAAGUGAGAGUUAGGUGAAAGAUGUGUGGGAGUUGGGGAAUAUGGGGUGUUCAGGGAUGACUAGCAGUUUUGGUGUUUACCUUUCUCUUCAUCCACAAGGAGAUGAGAUUAGGAUCACCUCAGUCCCUCCCUCAUUACACUAUCUUUUGGGGAUAGAAUUGGAGAUGGAGCAGGCAUGUGUACCGCCAUCUUGGGUAGCUGCCAAGUACUUGAAGUUUUAAACAAGGUUUUAAAAUGAAGUUAUCUAGUCUGACUACCUCCCCACAUCCCACCACCCCUCCACAUAUCCAAUCCAUUGCCAAGUCCUGCCAUUUCUACCUUAGAAACAUCUAUAGCCCUCAUAAAUAGACUGUGCCCUCCGCUUAGUCUCCUUGUCUCAAGUUUCUCCCCCUUUCAGACCGUCCCUCAUUCAGCUAUCAAAGUGAUCUUCCUCAAGUACAAGUCUAAUUAUGUUACUCUCUUACUCAGUGGUUCCCUGUUAAUUCAAUGUUUAAAAAAAUCCUGUUUGAUUUUUAAAGCCAUCAUCCCUUGGCUCUUUUUUAUAUUUUGCUCCUCUUCAGGUAUUCUACUGUCCAAUGACACUGGCUAUGCUUCUAUUACUUGCAGAGAGAUUUAUCUCCCUCUUUAUACCUUAUCACUGAUUGUCCACAGGCCCGUGCCUGGAGUGCCCCCUUUCCUAGUCUCUACCUGCUUCUGCUGCCCUGGUUUCCUUCAAGAUUCAAUAAUAAUUAUCUUCUCUUCUCUCAGCUCCCUCUCAACUACCCUUUGAGCUGAUUUUGAAUUCAUUGUAAAUAUAUGUAUAUAUGUAUGUUGUGUAUGUAUAUAUGUCCUUUUAAAAUUAUACAUAUUUUAUAUGCUUAUAUCACAUAUCAUCAUGUAUACCCUAUAUGUGUAUAUAUGUAACAUUAUACACACACACACACACAUAUAUAUAUAUAUAUAAUGUGUAAGCAUGUUAUCUCCUGCUGCCCCUUAGAAGGUGAGCACCUUGAAGGCAGGAAUUGAUUUUGCCUUUCUUUGAAUAGAUUGCUCUUAGCAAAGGGCCUGAUAUUUGAUAGGGACUUAAAUUUCUUGUUGACUUUUUGAGUUGUUGAAAAAAAAGAUGCUUGUUGAUUCAUCCCUUUUUUCUUUCUUUUGGAGCUUGCUGUUCAGUCCUUCACCCCAUGGGCCAUAGCACACUUCUUUCCUAUACUAUCUCUUAAAGUCUGUUCAAGUUCAUGUUUGUUGUUUCCAUUUACUAUCCCCUUCCCUUUUUGCCUUCAAUCUUGCCCAAGAUUGGAAUCUAUUUCAAAGAGUCUCAUCUUCUCAUUAUAUGGUCAUAAUGAGAAUAUUUAAAUAUGACAAGUAUUUAAGCUUCCAGCUUCAGUAUUUGCCCUUCCAAUGAGUAGUCUGAAUUAAUUUCUUUAAGUAUCAACCAAUUUGAUCUCCUUGCUGACAAAUGGACUCUCCAAAGUUUUCUCCAGCACCACAAUUUGAAAGCAUUGAUUCGGUGGUGCUCAGCUUUCCUUAGAGUUCAAUUCUCAUAACCAUCCAUUGCUACUGGAAAAAUCAAAACUUUAACUAUACGGUCCUUUGUCAGCAAGGAAAUGUCUGCUUUUUAGUAUGCUGGCUGGAUUUGCCAAAACCCUUUGGUGUGAAGGUGGGAGAACUAAAGUUUUUCCACUUAAAGGUUUGGAGGCCACUGUCUGAUCUAAAAUGAUUCAUAAAAAUUGUAAUUUCUGAGUGAAAGCAGUGGUUUUAGAAACAAAACAUACUUGCUGUUGGGGAAGAAGGGGAAGGAAGGCACAAAGAGACCAGGAUUUUAGAAAAGUUUACUAUUAUAAAGGGAAUGACAUUUGAGGAACCUGGCCACUCUUCCUCCCAGAUUUAAAGUCCCUGUAGAAAUCCAAUUUGUUUACUCAUUCAUAUUCUGUUGUCUCAUUUAAAUUGAUUGUCCCAAUGUCGGGAAAUUAUUUCUGAUGCUUAAAAAGAAAAAAAGUGGUGCAGGUGACUAUAGAAUGGCUUUAUAGAAUAUGGAACUUUGGAUAGAUGGGGAGUAAUUUACAGUACAUUAAAGAGAGUUUAGAAUUGAUCCAAAUUUUUAAAAUAUGGGCCCAAUUUCUUACCUUCUAUCCCCUUAAAAAAUCUGUUUUUCUUAACUGACAUAUUCAGUGACAUUGCUCUUGCAUCCAGAGCAGGGUAAUCAUGAGAAACAGAGCUGUGGGAGGAGGAAGUGCCUGCUUAUUCAUCUUUCCCCAAAUGGAGCACCCUUGGAUGAGAUGAAUUCUUUUCAAAUAUUGAGAUGGGCUAGAAUUCAGAAAAAUGUAUCAGAAAAAAAGAGCCUGGUUGGAUGAAACUACCCAUGCAGAGAGGCUGGCUACCUGUGGGCUUUUGACUCAGCAUGCUUAGUUUCAGAAAAUAAAGACUCUGCUGGCUUGACUUCAUCUUUUGAGUUCUUAAAUAGAAAAUGGCACCUAGAGGUCUGGCCGAUGUGAACACAUAAGAGAAGUGGAUCUCAAGAGUGGUAUAACUUUGUGUUCUGGGGUCAUAAGUGAAUUGGUUGCCUUCUGCAAAGUGUUUAGAAAUGGGGUAAAAAGACAGGGUUGUUUAGGGGAGACUGGGAGAGAAAGAGAUAGAAAAAGGCCAAGACAGAGAGAGAAAGAGAUACUACUUCUCAAGAAGGAAGAAUAUAAGUUCCAUGAGGUAAUGGAUGAUUUCUGUUUCUAGUAGGUAGAGUCUAUGAAGACCUGUCAAUUCUAAUAUAGCCCAGACCGAACUAAAGCCCCAAACACCCCUAACCUUCUGCUUCCCUCCUUAUCUGUUGUUUCAUUUUUUUGUGUCCCAGAGAGAAGGGGAGAAAAACUUUUUAUAGUUGAUGCUUUUCAUGUGUUCCCAUACUACAAUGAAUCUGUGAUCUUCCCCUCCAGGGAUGAACAUCCCUGGUGCAUCGCUACACCCCCCCCCCCCCCCCCGAAUCCUAUGCAUCUCUCCUCAUGACCAACCUUUAGACUUGAAAGACACAAUUCUGUUUUAGUAUUCCCAAGUUUCUCUAUGGUGAAUUAAAGUCUAUUGUGAUGUCUUUUUCAUAGGGAAUCUCUUCUGAAUCCAUUCUAAAGGCUUUAUAUACUCUGUACUUUACUUGGACAUUACUUAGGAGCUGCCUUUAACUAUUGUUAAGUGCUUUGUUUAUUGUGGUCAUCUGUAGGCUCACAGCAAAGAAGGUAAAUUUCUUUCCUUAUAGUUGCUGAUUUCUGGAUACUUUAGGCAUUUAGCCAAUGGUUUCUUUAUUAGUUAAAGAAGGAUCUCAGAAUUUCAGAUAAUAUUCCCAAACCUACUUUUAGGAUGAUGGAGUAGAGUCCCACACUAAUUGUUGGACUGACUACAGCGUGAACUAUAUCAGAAUUACUGGGUCUUCAUAGACUUAGCCUUCUAGUAAAUAGAACCCCCAAUCCUAUUCCUUGGAAAGUACAAAACACAGCCAUGAUACAUAAGAUACUUGAGGCCAGAAGAAGAAAAAGACAGAAAUAUUAUAUUAAUAACUGAUUUCCCCCCUAGUUUACCUGCAAAAUAUUUUAACAUACUUGAUCUCAUUUGAGUCUUACAUCCUCUUUUUACUUAUUUUUUAUUUUAUAUGGGAUGGGCUCUCUGAGAGAGGGCUACAGUGGGCAAUUGUAUGUACAAAAUAUGCCAAUAAAAUGUAUUUACAAAGAAAAGAAAAAGGAUAUGGAGGACUAGGAGCCCGAAGCCCCAGCUUCAAGUAUGGGUCACCACUUAUUGCCCGUGUGACCUUUGGAAGAUGACCUUGAACUCUCCUGGACUUCCUUUUAUUAUCUCUAAAAUAAGGCGAUUGGAUAACUUACAAGGUCCCUUGAACCCAUAAAUUGACUAUCGAUUGUGUUUUUGUCAACUGAAGGAGAACCUUCUUAAUUUACUAUGAUCUGGAGUUUCCAACUCUAUUUAGAACAGGCCCCUUUAUGCACUGUGUAAAUAGAUAUAGUGACUAAGAGUAUGGAGACAGCUAUCCUAGGAGUCAAGGAAAAUCUGGAAAACCCUGCCUGCAACCCUUGGGCAAGUCCUUUACCAUCCCAAAGCCCAGAAGUUCUCUAGGACCAUAAGUCAGUUUUCACUCUUAGAAGGUGAGAAUGAAAGAUGAUCAAGAUGACUCCCUCACCCCCUGCCUUACACACUGAAAUAUCAAGUUCAAUCUUAAAAAACCCCAAAAACAUUUUAGUGGAUUACAUAAUUUUGAGGGCAGAACUACCUUAAUUAUUCUAUUUUUUGAAAGCAGUACUAUUUCUUGAGAUUAAGCAUCAGAAUGCUGUUUCUAGUUUCUUCAUACCUGUGUCAGUUUUGACAAGGGUCUUGUUAAUGUAUCUACAAUUGGUAGGGGCUCAUUAAAUGCUCAGUUGUUCAAUUGUGUCUAACUCUAUAUGGCCCAAUGGAUUUUUUCCAUGGGAUUUUCUUGGCAGAGAUGCUAGAGUGAUUUGCCAUUUCCUUCUCUAGUUCAUUUUACAGAUGAGAAAACUGAAGCAAACAGGGUUAAGUGACUUGCCCAAGGUCGCACAGCUAGUAAGUAUGGAUUUGAAGAUGCACUGUAUCACCUAGUUGCCUAUAACUCUUGUCUAUGUAAUAACAUUAAUUGCUCACAUUUAGGUGGUGCUUUCUGGAUUUUCAGCUAUCUUACAUAAAUUAGUUGACUCCUCACUUCUUUGAGGUAGGAAGAAGGAAAUGAAGCUUUCGAUGGCUAAAUGACUCUCCCAAAGUAAUUAGUAAAGUUGAAAUUUAAACCUAGGCCCACUGAUUUUAUUUUUUACUUUUACUUUUAAAAAUCCUUAUCUUCCAUACUAGAAUCAAUGUCUAAAGCAAGAUUUGAAACUAGGACCUCCUGACUCUCAAUUCACUAAGUCACCUAGCUUCCCCCAGUUCCAUUGAGUUUAAAUCCUAGGUGGCACAGUGAAUACAGCUCUACUUGUGGGACCCCAGGUAGGUCAUUUCACUACUGCCUCCCUCAGUUUCCUCAACUAUAAAAUGGGGAUAAUAAUAAUUCCUUCCUUUCAGGGUUGUUGAUGACCCUAAGUAAAUAAGUCACCUAAUCCCUCUCUGUCUUGGUUUCUUCAUCUGUAAAAUAGAGAUCCUAAUAGCUCCUAUUUUAUAGGGUUUCUGAAAAGAUCAAAGGUGAGAUAUAUCUCUAUAUAUCGCAUUGCAAACUUUAAAACACUAUGUAAAGGUUAGCUGCUCUUCCCACUGUAUCACUGUUAUUAUAAAUGUUAACUGUUAUGUAUUACUAAUUUGUGUAACUUUUAAAUUUGUUCAUUAUAUAGGUUUACUGUCUGUGGGGCAGGAAUACAGUGGGAAAUGUAAGUGAUGGAAAAAAAGGGCAUCAAAAAUGUAACAAAAAAAAAUAGAUGGAGAGAUGUAACGUGAUCAAUGCCACAAGUCAGCCAAGCAGUUGUGCCUUUGUUAUCUUGGGUUUUGGAGAAGUAGGUCACAAUUUUAUGUUUGACUUAGUGUUGACAGUUGAUUAGAUUCUAAUGUUGCUUUUUAAAAAAAAAAUUUACCAGUCAUUUUAGCCAUUCCCCCAAUUCCCCCUAUCCACUCCCCUCCACAGUGGAGGUGGGCAAAAUCAAGGGAUCAAAUUUUUAUUCACUGUAAUAAUGCAGAAAAAAUAAAUGGGGUCUCCAUGAGGUAAAAAAAGACCACAAUUCAUCCUGUUUCCUUCCGGUCUCCUAAACUUACACAUGAGCAUGCCCACACAUGGGCGAGGGUAGCUGAUUGGAGAUAAAAAUAUGCAUCGCUCCUUUGUAUCAAUUUCUUCUAUCUUGGUACAGUUUCCAUCAACAGUUGUCAUGGUUGUGAGGCAAAUAAACAUUGGCUUGGAAGGAUUUUUAUUUCUAUGUUCUUUUAAAAAUGUUUUAUUGUUGCUUUUUGUUUUUACGUGAUAGUUAUACCACACCUCCCUCCCUUUCUCCAACACAUUUUUUUAUUGAAGGAAAACAUUUCAGCAAGCUAUUUUCCUUUGUUAUGAGGGAGGAUCCAUGGGAUUUAGAGUAAGGGUUAUUUCCAGAAAUGACUGUAAUACAGGAACAAAAGGCAUUAAUAACACUUUUUAAAAAUCAAGUGUGACCCUGUGUCAAAAUCUAAAUAAGCACAAUGAAACUAGGAAGACCAUGACUGACAGCAGAGGCCAGAUUCCACAAAAAUGGUCCCUCUCUAUCAAAAAAGCUACUCUGCCUACAAAGAUAUUGAUCAGCUUUUGCAAAUGAAAUGGGUCCUUCCGGCCAUUCAAAGUUGGAAAUUCCUUUUAGUGAUAUUGUCAUUUAUAUUAAAAGGCAAUGGCAAUGGGGUAGGGCAUAGAAGACUUGCCUUGGAGUCUAGAAAAUCUGAGUUCAAGAAUCGCCUCUUAUAUAUAUUGGCUGUAUGGCCAUGAAUAAGUCAUCCAACUUUUUAGUGCCUCAGGCCAUUCUGCUGUAAGACUGUAAGUUGCAGAGAAAAUGCCUGCUUGGCAGAAGAGGAGGGUGUUGUGGCAUUGCGGCACUGCCUCAUUCUGGAAUUCUCUAUAUGAGUGAAAUCCCAACACCAAUUUCUGUUCUUAUCAUUUAUAGUUCAGUUCUCAUAGCUCUCUUUUGGUUCUGUUUUCCACCCUGUAUCAGUUCAUAUAAAUUUUACCAAGUUUCUCUGAGUUCUUCACUUUGGCCAUGUCUUACAAUCAACAAAAUUAUUGGCGGCAUUUUUGCUCUUUCUUUUCAGAGUUAACUGCGAAUUGAUUCUUUCAUAUUAGGUGGAUGUGGACAUUUUAAUGAUUAUCCAAAAUAACCCCAAGUGCCCAGGGUUCUGUAAGGGCAAAUUGACUGCAGUUUGUAAUAGUUUGGAGCUAGUCAUGAGGGAAAAGAAUUGGCAGUUCUACAUGGAAUCAUUUGAAUUAAAUUACACAGCCAUUCCAAAGCAAAAUGUGCUGAAUGAUGAAGCUUUUAUGCAGUAUUUUUAAAAAGGAUCCAAAUUGUUGUUUCUUUUCCUACCUCCCUUGUCCGAUAAUAUUUUAUAUAUUUUAGGCAUCUUGGGGUAAAGCCAGCUUUUCUCAAGGCAAGUUAUACACCCAGAGUUUUAUAAGACUGUAGAAAUUAAAGUUAGGCAUAAAUUUUCAUUUAAACCAAAGUAACUUCUUCCCAGAAAAGGAUUAGCAAAACAUUCUUAAAAUAAAUAAAUAAUAGCAAUAAUUAGUUUUUUAUAAUGCUUUCAGAUUUAAAAAGCACUUUGCAUACAUUCUUGCUUGCUCCUCCUCAAAGAUUUAAGAAGUAGGUGGUAUUUCAAGCAUGUUACUACCCUAAGUCAAAAAUAGUCAAUGGCUCACUAUUUCCUCUAGGAUAUGAUACAAAACACUCAGCCUGAUUCUGUAAGGCUCUCUGCAAUCUGUUUUAUACCUACUUUACCUGACCUAAUUAAUUCCUAUUUUUCCUCUUACUACCUUUCCCCUUCUAAGAACCUCUGUUUUCCCUUGACACACCUACAAGUGAUGCCUUUGUUGGGGAUGGAUUCCUUCUUCAUCUUCAACUUUGCAAAUCCCUAGCUUCUUUUCACAUGUAGCUCAAGUGCCCCUCUCCAACAGAAGACCUUUUUUUUAAAAAAAAAUCUCUCAAGUUGUUAAUAUUGCUCUCCUUCCUAAACUUACUUUUUAUGCCUUUGUUUAUAUUUCAAAUCUACUGGUCAGGGCAUGUGUGUUCUCCCUCCUCCAAGGAUAGCCUAAGCUCACUGAGGGCAGGGACUGCUUUGUCUUUUGGUGUCUCCUACACCCAGAAAAGGCACCUCCUUCAACCAAUGGGCUGGUAAUAUUAAUAGAGAAGGCAGCUACAAAACACUUUGUGUAAAGUGGAUCUUAAGGAAGAGAUGUAGAAAAAUCAGGACAUGAUAGAUAGUAUCAUUCAAAAAGAGACACUCAAGCAGCAAGAAAACUGUUCUGAAUGAGCUGUUGAAAAGAAACUUAGAAGUCAGACUCUGUGUUAAGUGCCAGGGAUACAAGUAGAAGCAGAAAAAGAAAACCAGUCCCUGCCCUCAAAGAAAUUAUAUUCUAAAGGGGAACAUUAUUCUGGAAAGGGUGUGGGAGAAAAGCACCCCCGAAGGCACAUGGUCAGCCUCUGUUGUGAUGGAUUAUUUGGCCAAAUGAUAACAGUCAGAAUAAAAACAUAUCUCACAUUUCUAGAAAGCUUUUAAAUUUUAAGGUUUACAGGAAUGCAUUCCCAUACAAUCAUGCAAGGGGAGUUAGUGCACAUAUUUUUAUUCCCAUUUUAUAUAUGAGGAAAGACAAGGCCCACCCCAUUUGUGUUUUAGCCAUUUUUGAUAUGAUGGCUUAGAACUGGUUUUGGUAGGGCUUGUCGUGCCCUUCUAGGGCAGCUCUCUAGCCACUGACCCUCACCUGACACCCAGCUCUCACUUGUGGCUCCCAGUAGCUGCUAGCAUGCGGCAGCGGCCACACCCUAGGCAACAGCUUGACAGGCCGGCUAAACCUUGUGAGGGUAGCCAUCGGGUCGACAUCGACCCCUGGUGAACCAGGGCUUUGCUCACUCAGCAUGUGAAGACUGCUUCGGCGGAAUAGGCGGAAGAAACCAACAAGAAGGUUCAACGGCUGAGAUGGCAAUGCAGCAAAGCACUGUGGAGUGCUUAGGGCGUGUUGGAGCACAAAAGACAACAUGGCCAUCCAUUGCAGCUGAGGAAGUCUCCAGGUGUAACGACUUUUUGUGCCAAUGGACCCAGGCUUCCAAUGCCGAGAGAGUGGGACUGUCUCUGUGCAUCGACUUUUCCACUUAAAUCUUCAUGCACAAGUGUCUUUGUGAACAAAAAUGCACAAAGACAAUCGUCAUCCUCAGUUCGAGAGACAACCAACAAACACCCCCCUUCCCCCUCCUCAUUAGAAAAAACAUCAUUUGACAAAAGGAUAUAUAUAUGUAUACAUAUAUAUAUAUAUAUGAAGACAUUACAUAUAUAUAAAUAAUGUAUAUUAUUUCUGUUUCAGUUCUUUCUCCAGAGGGAGAUAUGCAUAAGUCAUUUUUUCAAACAAUAUUUCUAUUGCUAUAUCGAAUGUUCCCUUGCUUCUCUUCAUUUCAUCCUUUAUAACUUCAUGUCAGUCUUUCCAUGUCUUUUAAAAAUGAACCUCUGUACCUUUUCUUUCUUUCUUUUUUAAACCCUUACCUUCCAUCUUAGAAUCAAUACUGUAUAUUGGUUCCAAGGCAGAAGAGUGGUGAGGGCUAGGCAAUGGGGAUUAAGUGACUUGUCCAGGGUCACCCAGCUAGGAAGUGUCUGAGGUCAAAUUUGAACCCAGGACCUCCCUCUCUAGGUCUGGCUUUCAAUGCACUGAGCUACCCAGCUGCCUCUGUCUGCACCAUUAUUUUAUGAUGCAAUAGUAUUUCAUCACAGUCACUUGAUGGUGAAUUUUUGACCAUCAUUAAGAUCAGUGAGGAGUCAACCAGAUGGUCUGCAUUGUAAUCUCAUCCAGUCCUAUCAUUAGCAAAACAAGGAAGAAGGCAGGUGUUGGGGUGACAGGGCAGCUGUUGAAGUCAGCAAGUAGCCUGAAUGGAUGCACCAGUCUCUCUCCCAGCUUGCCCUAGCUUGGUUUUACUUGUAUGGAAGGGCAUGGUGUUAGAGGAUAAAAAGGAGAGAUCAGCAGGACUGCAUCAUAGGACCGCACUGCUACCAUUGAGUUGAAGACCCUAAGGAGGAGAAGCUGAGGAGCUGUGAGACAAACAGAUCAGAAACUGGAGUUACAAAGAAAUUACUGGAACAAAAUGGAAAGAACAAAGGAACCAAUACUCAAGAUCCAGAGAUCCAGGGCAGAAUUGUGUCUCAUUUCUUUCUCUAAGCUUUACAAAUAAAAGCUAAAUAAGGAGAUCUAA